CUAAAUUCUAAGACUCGCUAGUACCAGCUUUAUAUCAUUCUAUUCUAGUUAGUCUGACUUACUUAGCUAAUUUUGAUCCAGCUACUGCUAUCCACGUUAUACUGUCAUUCAAAUCUUUCAGAAAUAUGGACUAAUCUGAUACUUUGUUUUCACGAUCAGUGUCUCAGAGAAACAGUUACAGUGUUUCAUUAUCGAUCUUAGCAGUAAGAGCACACAUUGCAGCAGGAUAAAUAGCCAAUCUUCCCUGCUUACAUUUAUUAGUUUAGCUGAGACAAUACUAGUCUUUCACUAUUCUUUUUGUAUAUAUUUUCUUUGUACCCUAUA